GCCAAAUCUUGAUAUUUCCAGUCAAUGUAUUGUUUUCCUAAUACAUUUUUACAGUCUACCUACCAUUGAUCUGUAACUGUCUUCUUAAUUUUUACUUGUAGUUAAUCCUUUGGGAGACAUGCGAUAAGCCUGUAGCUGAAGUUUUAUCUGUCCAGUGGCAUCAUUAUUUACAUUUCCUGUAAGAUACAUCAGCCUGUUUCUCAAGCUACUCCCUCCCAAGAGUCAGUGGUUGCUGUGCUCUGUAGAUGCUGCCGUUCUUUGCUGAGGUUUCUUUUGG